rnacentral:rRNA from 1 species
AUUGAACGCUGGCGGCAGGCCUAACACAUGCAAGUCGAGCGCGAAAGGCCUUCGGGCUGAGUAGAGCGGCGGACGGGUGAGUAACGCGUAGGAAUCUACCUGGUAGUGGGGGACGACUUGGGGAAACUCAAGCUAAUACCGCAUACGCCCCAAGGGGGAAAGCGGGGGACCUUCGGGCCUCGCGCUAUCAGAGGAGCCUGCGUAGGAUUAGCUAGUUGGUAGGGUAAAGGCCUACCAAGGCGACGAUCCUUAGCUGGUCUGAGAGGAUGAUCAGCCACACUGGGACUGAGACACGGCCCAGACUCCUACGGGAGGCAGCAGUGGGGAAUAUUGCGCAAUGGGGGCAACCCUGACGCAGCCAUGCCGCGUGUGUGAAGAAGGCCUUCGGGUUGUAAAGCACUUUCAAUGGGGAAGAAAAGCGUAGCGUUAAUAGCGUUGCGCCGUGACGUUACCCAUAGAAGAAGCACCGGCUAACUCCGUGCCAGCCGCCGCAGUAACAC